CCUACGGGGGGCAGCAGUGAGGAAUAUUGGUCAAUGGGCGCUAGCCUGAACCAGCCAAGUAGCGUGAAGGAUGACUGCCCUCUGGGUUGUAAACUUCUUUUAUAUGGGAAUAAAGUGCAGUAUGUAUACUGCUUUGCAUGUACCUUAUGAAUAAGGAUCGGUUCACUCCGUGCCCUCCGCCGCGGUACUACGGAGGAUCCGAGCGUUAUCCGGAUUUAUUGGGUUUAAGGGGAGCGUAGGCGGGUUGUUAAGUCAGUUGUGAAAGUUUGCGGCUCAACCGUAGAAUUGCAGUUGAUACUGGCAUCCUUGAGUACAGUAGAGGUAGGCGGAAUUCGUGGUGUAGCGGUGAAAUGCUUAGAUAUCACGAAGAACUCCGAUUGCGAAGGCAGCCUGCUGGACCGUAACUGACGCUGAUGCGCGAAAGUGUGGGUAGCAAACAGGAUUAGAUACCCUUGUAGUC
rnacentral:rRNA from 1 species